rnacentral:lncRNA from 1 species
GAGGGGAACACCCAGAUUUCAAUCUCUAGUCCUUCCCUUGCUAGUUGGGUGACCUUGGUGCAGCUAUUAGAAAAUUUAAAAUCACGUAUGUGACACUCAUUACAUUGCUGCUGGUCGGUGCCGUUCUAAGGCCUCGGAACCCUCCGCUGGAUCCUCUCCAUCUUGCUGGCAUAUAAUGAGAAAGAGCGAGCAAGCGGAGGCCUGCAGGGCGGUUUCCAUAGUCCUUUGGCUCCCAGUCCCGAUGCCACACCCAACUGCAAACUGGGCCGGGAAAUAGACUUGGUGAGCAAGCAGCCGGCCUCCUGCGCAGGGAGUGCAGAAGGACAAGAUCACUGAUGAGCCGAGGUGGAGAUGCUGGCAGGCAAGGUGUGGGCAAGAGGGUCCAAAUGGGUUUGGAAAUUACCAUGAAUUUAGAAAGAGUGACAGGGAACAAAAAUCUUCAAGACCCCCAGGGUCUACAGUUGAUUCAGCAAAGAGGAAUAUUUAGAAAUAGAGUCUGAUAACACGUGCGUCAAAGCCAUGAGCUGUGGAAGAGAAAGUGGCAAGCAUCUUGAAACAGCAAUCAGGAGAAAUGAGGACACCUACCCACGCCGGGCCCAGCGCUCCAAGGAAAGCCGCUGUCUCAAGAAUAUCAAGGAGCGGAGGCUUCCCAGACCUCAACUCCUCGACUCCCGGCACAUGAACCCGCCUCAAACAAGAAGACGAGACAACGGCGCGGAGGACACCCACCUGCCAUCCUCCUAUCUCACCAUCCCCCACGCCUCGCUGCAAGCAGCCUCCCAAGGCCAAACGCAGGCUGGUGGGAAAACGGUAGCCUGCACAGCUACAUGCGCCCCCUCCCCUACCCAAAACCCCAAAUAAAAGUCCCUACCCAUUCCUCAUUGGGGAGCUAGCAGUUUUUGAGGCAUGAGCCCUUGCUUUGCUCCCUG